GGUUAAGUGACUAAGCGUACACGGUGGAUGCCUAGGCAGUCAGAGGCGAUGAAGGGCGUGCUAAUCUGCGAAAAGCGUCGGUAAGGUGAUAUGAACCGUUACAACCGGCGAUACCCGAAUGGGGAAACCCAGUGUGUUUCGACACACUAUCAUGUCAUGAAUACAUAGUGGCAUGAGGCGAACCGGGGGAACUGAAACAUCUAAGUACCCCGAGGAAAAGAAAUCAACCGAGAUUCCCCCAGUAGCGGCGAGCGAACGGGGAGGAGCCCAGAACCUGAAUCGGCUUGUGUGUUAGUGGAAGCGUCUGGAAAGUCGCGCAGCAAAGGGUGAUAGCCCCGUACACUAAAAUGCACAGGUCGUGAGUUCGAUGAGUAGGGCGGGACACGUGACAUCCUGUCUGAAUAUGGGGGGACCAUCCUCCAAGGCUAAAUACUCCUGACUGACCGAUAGUGAACCAGUACCGUGAGGGAAAGGCGAAAAGAACCCCGGCGAGGGGAGUGAAAUAGAACCUGAAACCGUGUACGUACAAGCAGUGGGAGCACCUUCGUGGUGUGACUGCGUACCUUUUGUAUAAUGGGUCAGCGACUUAUAUUUUGUAGCAAGGUUAACCGUAUAGGGGAGCCGUAGGGAAACCGAGUCUUAACUGGGCGAAUAGUUGCAAGGUAUAGACCCGAAACCCGGUGAUCUAGCCAUGGGCAGGUUGAAGGUUGGGUAACACUAACUGGAGGACCGAACCGACUAAUGUUGAAAAAUUAGCGGAUGACUUGUGGCUGGGGGUGAAAGGCCAAUCAAACCGGGAGAUAGCUGGUUCUCCCCGAAAGCUAUUUAGGUAGCGCCUCGUGAACUCAUCUUCGGGGGUAGAGCACUGUUUCGGCUAGGGGGCCAUCCCGGCUUACCAAACCGAUGCAAACUCCGAAUACCGAAGAAUGUUAUCACGGGAGACACACGGCGGGUGCUAACGUCCGUCGUGAAGAGGGAAACAACCCAGACCGCCAGCUAAGGUCCCAAAGUCAUGGUUAAGUGGGAAACGAUGUGGGAAGGCAUAGACAGCCAGGAUGUUGGCUUAGAAGCAGCCAUCAUUUAAAGAAAGCGUAAUAGCUCACUGGUCGAGUCGGCCUGCGCGGAAGAUGUAACGGGGCUAAACCAUGCACCGAAGCUGCGGCAGCGACGCUUAGCGUUGUUGGGUAGGGGAGCGUUCUGUAAGCCGUUGAAGGUGGCCUGUGAGGGUUGCUGGAGGUAUCAGAAGUGCGAAUGCUGACAUAAGUAACGAUAAAGCGGGUGAAAAGCCCGCUCGCCGGAAGACCAAGGGUUCCUGUCCAACGUUAAUCGGGGCAGGGUGAGUCGACCCCUAAGGCGAGGCUGAAAAGCGUAGUCGAUGGGAAACAGGUUAAUAUUCCUGUACUUGGUGUUACUGCGAAGGGGGGACGGAGAAGGCUAGGCUAGCCGGGCGACGGUUGUCCCGGUUUAAGCGUGUAGGGGGUGUGACCUGGUAAAUCCGGUU
rnacentral:rRNA from 1 species